GAAGAAGGAAAACUUUUCUCACCUGUGUUGUGAACGUCUCCAAAGCUGAGACAGGAUCCCUUUUUUUUUUUUUUUUUAAAGGAGAAGUAAACUCAUCACACCUUCCAACCUGUCAGUUUCGUCGUCGUCGUCUUUUUUGUUAUUUCAGAAGAUUGUUGUUGCUGGUCUGGAGCCCCUCAUCUGUUUGCCUGCCUCAGCUCUGGACGUUUGGAGGCGCAGGACACUGGAAACCACCACGGAGGCGCAGGAUGGUACGGAAGAGGAUUGGGCCACCAAAAAUAAUUCAAUAAAAUUUUGACUUUAGUCAGAAUUCU